GGGCUCACACAAGCGGUGGAGGAUGUGGCUCAAUUCGAAGCAACGCGAAGAACCUUACCUGGGUUUGACAUGCUAGUAUUAGCUUUGUGAAAGCAAAGUGACGCGGCUUGCCGUGGAACUAGCACAGGUGCUGCAUGGCUGUCGUCAGCUCGUGCUGUGAAGUGUCGGGUUAAGUCCCUUAACGAGCGAAACCCUUGUCGCUAGUUGCCAGCGAGUAAAGUCGGGCACUUUAGCGAGACUGCCGGUGUUAAACCGGAGGAAGGUGGGGACGACGUCAAGUCCUCAUGGCCUUUAUGCCCAGGGUUGCACACGUCCUACAAUGGGAUGGUACAGAGCGAUGCGAGACCGCGAGGUGGAGCAAAUCGCAGAAAACUUCCCUCAGUUCGGAUUGCAGGCUGCAACUCGCCUGCAUGAAGCUGGAAUCGCUAGUAAUCGCGCAUCAGCUAUGGCGCGGUGAAUGUGUUCCUGAGCCUU
rnacentral:rRNA from 1 species